rnacentral:rRNA from 1 species
UACGUAGGGUGCAAGCGUUAUCCGGAUUUAUUGGGUUUAAAGGGUGCGUAGGCGGUUUAUUAAGUCAGUGGUGAAAGACGGUCGCUCAACGAUUGCAGUGCCAUUGAUACUGGUAGACUUGAGUGAGAUUGAGGUAGCUGGAAUGGAUAGUGUAGCGGUGAAAUGCUUAGAGAUUACAUGGAAUACCAAUUGCGAAGGCAGGUUACUACGUCUCAACUGACGCUGAGGCACGAAAGUGUGGGUAUCAAACAGG